rnacentral:rRNA from 1 species
CAAUAGCGUAUAUUUAAGUUGUUGCAGUUAAAAAGCUCGUAGUUGGAUUUCGGGUUGGCUUCAGCGGUCUCGCUUUGCGUUUGUACUGCUGCAGCCUACCUUCUUGUCGGGGACGGGCCUUCGGGCGUAAUUGCUUGGGGCCCGGAGUCGACGAUGUUACUUUGAGUAAAUUAGAGUGUUCAAAGCAAGCCUACGCUCUGAAUAUAAUAGCAUGGGAUAACACGACAGGACUCUGGCCUAUCGUGUUGGUCUGUAGGACCAGAGUAAUGAUUAAGAGGGACAGUCGGGGGCAUUCGUAUUCCGUUGUCAGAGGUGAAAUUCUUGGAUUUACGGAAGACGAACAUCUGCGAAAGCAUUUGCCAAGGAUGUUUUCAUUGA